rnacentral:rRNA from 1 species
GAUGAACGCUGGCGGCGUGCCUAAUACAUGCAAGUCGAACGCUUAAGCUUGGUGCUUGCACCGAGCGGGUGAGUUGCGAACGGGUGAGUAACGCGUAGGUAACCUGCCUCUUAGCGGGGGAUUAUUAUUGGAAACGAUAGCUAAUACCGCAUAAAAGUCGCUAUCGCAUGAUAUUGAUUUGAAAGGUGCUAAUGCAUCACUAAGAGAUGGAUCUGCGUUGUAUUAGCUAGUUGGUGAGGUAACGGCUCACCAAAGCGACGAUACAUAGUCCACCUCAGAGGGAGGGCGGCCACUCUGGGACUGAGACACGGCCGCCACGCCGACGGGAGUGAGCAGGAGGGGAACUGUGGCAAUAGGGGCAACCCUGACCGUACGACGCCGCGUAAUGUAGAAAUGGUUUCCGUGCGUAAAGCUCUGUUUUACGAGAAGAAAGGGCGUGGAGUGGUAAAGUUCACACAGUUACGGUAACUGACCAGAAAGGGACGGCUAACUACGUG